AAUGUCCGAUAGAUCGAAUGAUGGGAUUACUUGUUAUGAGAGCUAGGCGGUCAACCUUAUCUAGCGUGUUUCCGUGCCCUCCGUCAGAUUUUUGAACAGUCGAUAGUAUCGAUAGGAUCAUCGACACCGGACUAGGGCUGCAAAAAAACGUUGAAUGGCGCCGAUUUCAAAUCAAAUUUGAAGUAAAUGGAAAAUAAAAGCAAAAGUACUCCAUACUCCAUUCAAUGUACGGCAAUAAUAAAAACUCUUCUGGCACAAAACUAGUUAUUAUAUAUGUAAAUAUAUAAGGCAUUGUUUGAAGCAAAAAGCCGACCCCUUUGCUGAUGUUUGUGCACAAUCUUUAUACAAUCCAGAACUUGGAUCGGUCCGCGGUCCGCUGCCCGCUCAAUUCAAGAGACCGUGCGUUCCAUUCAUAUUUUGCUCUGUAUGUCUUCACGUUUUUGCAAUCCCAAAAUAUACACAUCCAUUACUGGUUGAUUACGAUUUUUACUUGAUGCCCUUCUGCUUCACAUAUAAUUCUCUCAAUUUAUAAUUACAUCAGAACUAGAAUUAAACUGAAAUCGCUACAAAGUGUAUGUCGUUUUGUUUUGUGUGUGUUUAACAUCGUUUUUGUUUUGUUUUGUUUUUUUUUGUGGUGUUGAUUGUAACUUAAAAAUACAAC
rnacentral:sRNA from 1 species